GUCCGCACCGUAAACGAUGAUCACUCGUUGUUGGCGAUACACAGUCAGCGACUAAGCGAAAGCAUUAAGUGAUCCACCUGGGAAGUACGACCGCAAGGUUGAAACUCAAAGGAAUUGACGGGGGCCCCGCACAAGCGGAGGAGCAUGUGGUUUAAUUCGAUGGUACGCGAGGAACCUUACCUGGGCUUGAAAGACAGUUGACCGUUUCCGAAAGGAGACUUUCGCAAGACAACUGUCUAGGUGCUGCAUGGCUGUCGU
rnacentral:rRNA from 1 species